rnacentral:rRNA from 1 species
GAUGAGCGCUGGCGGCGUGCUUAACACAUGCAAGUCGAACGCUGAAGCUCCAGCUUGCUGGGGUGGAUGAGUGGCGAACGGGUGAGUAUCACGUGAGGAACCUGCCCUGAACUUCGGGAUAAGCCUGGGAAACUGGGUCUAAUACUGGAUAGGACAUCUCACCGCAUGGUGGGGUGUGAAAAGCUUUUUGCGGUUUGGGAUGGUCUCGCGGCCUAUCAGCUGGUUGGUGGGGUAAUGGCCUACCAAGGCUUUGACGGGUAGCCGGCCUGAGAGGGUGACCGGCCACACUGGGACUGAGACACGGCCCAGACUCCUACGGGAGGCAGCAGUGGGGGAUAUUGCACAAUGGGCGCAAGCCUGAUGCAGCGACGCCGCGUGAGGGAUGACGGCCUUCGGGUUGUAAACCUCUUUCAGUUGGGAAGAAGCCCCUUUUUUGGGGUGACGGUACUUUCAGAAGAAGCACCGGCUAACUACGUGCCAGCAGCCGCAGUAA